rnacentral:rRNA from 1 species
UACGUAGGGGGCGAGCGUUGUCCGGAGUUACUGGGCGUAAAGGGCAUGCAGGCGGUCGUACGCGUUUCGGGUGACAGCGGGUGGCUUAACUACCCGAGUGUUCGAAGGACGGUACGACUUGAGGGCUCGAGAGGGACACGGAAUUCCGGGUGGAGUGGUGAAAUGCGUAGAGAUCCGGAGGAACACCGAAGGCGAAGGCAGUGUCCUGGCGAGUGACUGACGCUGAGGUGCGAAAGCUAGGGGAGCGAACGGG